rnacentral:rRNA from 1 species
CCUUGAGCGUGGUUCCGGAGCUAACGCGUUAAGUCGACCGCCUGGGGAGUACGGCCGCAAGGUUAAAACUCAAAUGAAUUGACGGGGGCCCGCACAAGCGUGGAGCAUGUGGUUUAAUUCGAUGCAACGCGAAGAACCUUACCUGGUCUUGACAUCCACGGAAUUUGGCAGAGAUGCCUUAGUGCCUUCGGGAACCGUGAGACAGGUGCUGCAUGGCUGUCGUCAGCUCGUGUUGUGAAAUGUUGGGUUAAGUCCCGCAACGAGCGCAACCCUUAUCCUUUGUUGCCAGCGGUCCGGCCGGGAACUCAAAGGAGACUGCCAGUGAUAAACUGGAGGAAGGUGGGGAUGACGUCAAGUCAUCAUGGCCCUUACGACCAGGGCUACACACGUGCUACAAUGGCAUAUACAAAGAGAAGCGACCUCGCGAGACCAAGCGGACCUCAUAAAGUAUGUCGUAGUCCGGAUUGGAGUCUGCAACUCGACUCCAUGAAGUCGGAAUCGCUAGUAAUCGUGGAUCAGAAUGCCACGGUGAAUACGUUCCCGGGCCUUGUACACACCGCCCGUCACACCAUGGGAGUGGGUUGCAAAAGAAGUAGGUAGCUUAACCUUCGGGAGGGCGCUUACCACUUUGUGAUUCAUGACUGGGGUGAAGUC